GGUGUGGAUGGAUGUGAGUAUGGAGCCAAUGGUACAUGUGUAAUAUGGCAUGUGUAUGUUGCAUGCAGUAUGUACAUGUGUGGUGUGUCUGUGACUGGCAUGGGUAUAGCAUGUGUGUGAUGUGGGUAUAGGCAAAGGCAGCUCACAGUGGCCAGAGCCCCCUUGCUCUGACCGUGACAAGUAUGACAUGCUGUAGGAGCACAGAUUUGCUUUAAUGUAAAUAUUUUGAUGUCUUUCUUUUCAUGAACUUUCCCCCUUGCUGGUAAACAGGGGGCCUACAGUAAAUGAGUGGUUUUUCUGAGAACUGACUUUUAAGGAAAUAGGAAAAACCCCACAAUUUUAUUAGUUAACUGUCAGUCUUGUGCAUGAUUGACCACUUCGUUUCUCUGCUUUUAACUCCACUUCUGCAGACACUUGGCCACCAAAAAAUCACUUCAUUUUAAUUUAUAAAAACACUUUAAAAUGUAUAAAUAUACCCAUUCCAAAAUAGGAAAACUGGCAAAGACAAUAAGAGGGAGGAAAGUCAUUCUGUAGGAGGUUUCUGAGACAAGAAAACAGCCCAUCCAAUCUCCCAUUGUCCUAAUGGGAGACUCCCUGGACCGUUCCCCUGUGGAUGCUGGGCCUCCACUCCCACCAUCGUCACCCUGAGAUACUGCGAUGGGAGGGAGGAGGCACCCGGCGUUUUGGCCACAGAGCUUGAGCCUUGACACAUGCUUGUCACAUCCCAGGUGCUACUUUCCGUCCCAGGCAGGUGGCUGCAGAGCCACCUGUGUGUGCAAACACCGGCCCUGCCUACGGACGGUGCAGGCCUGUGCUGUGAUGAAUGAGGACAAGGACCGGAAGCCAGGCCAGGAAGACCUGCCUUCCAACCCGAGCUGCUCACCUGAAGGUGUCACCUCACCUCUGCCUGUCACUUCCUGAUGGGUUACGUGGAGCCAGGACUUUCUGGCCUUCAAGCCUCAUGGAGGGUUGUCAAAACCCAAGAUCCAUAACUCGCUUCAAAAUAGUCGGGGGUGGGGGAGAAGCCGUCUCCAUGCCAACCUGUGACGGAGUCUCCUUGGCAGGUGGCAGUGAUGGCAAGUGCUUGGGUCCCUGAGGCUGAUGGCAGCCCGGCCUCGGAUCACGUCCCCUGUCCCCACAACAGGUGUCUGUUCAGGAGAAUGCUAGAGAUCUCUUUCAAAGAAAGCUCCCCCUCCCCCUGAAGGGAAACUGAGGACCCUGAGAGCAAGCAUUUCGAGUCUUCUAAGGGCAGUGCGGACAGGACUUCUAAGGAAGUGUCUCCCUGCCUCCCGAGAAGAAGAAGAGGAAGAGGAGGAGGCGAAGAAGGCGACACAAGCCGCCCUGUCUUUUCUAAAGAGGGAGGGAAACUCGCCACAAAGUGUGAUCAUAGAGGCUGGAGGGGAGUCAACUCCUUUUCCUUUCAGAAUAAAUGACUGAAUUGGCUAAAAUCCACAUCGUGUGGGUGGGAGCUCUAUCUGAUCAGCCCGUCCCCCGGAUCCUGUCUCAUCUUCGCGGGCAGAGCGGCCCUACCUGCUCCCCUGGCACCUGUCAGUGCCGUGAGCACACACCGGCGUCUGCUCUGCGGAAAAACAGGACUCAAGGUCCCCGAUACGCUCCGUGCGUCCGGAGGUCUCAUUUCGUUCUGGAAGGCCGAGCCGGUGUUAGCAAACGGCUGCACACAUUCCAUCCGCUCGGCAAACAGCCUCUCUCCCAUGGCAAACACGUUCAAACCAGGAAAUUCUAGUGUUUACUGGAAAAAUAAAAAGUGGUGCUGGCUUUAAAUCGGUGACAGCCCCUGGCUUACAGACAACACAAGCGAACACACCAGUUCUGGAUUCUGGAGCCCUCUCGGAGAACAAGACAGAAAUGAAGACUCAGAGUGAGCGAGCAGCUUGCCCAGAAUGACCCGCGUGGGAUGUGGCGAAGCUGGUAAACCAAACGGGUUUUUUCACCAAGUUGUUUGUGAAGUUUGUAGGUCCCUCCAGAGCUGGAGUCAUGCCUCUGAGAUGAACCCCUGAAACACAGCUAAAGAGGCGUGAGCACAAUCCAUCUUUUUCUUCUUUUCGUGAGCAUACGGCGAUCACAGGCUCUGGAAACAUCAAAACUCCCAUCCUCAAAUAGGCUUCUGCUAAGGAUAAGAGGACUCCACAUGGUGAAGUGCAUGUUGCUGCCACGUUUUAAGUGUUUCGGAAUUACACAGCUCUAAACGAAACAAAUGAAACGUGUUCUUUACCAUCAGCAUGGAUAACUAGGUAACUCAGAGACCUGUGUUUUAAAAGCUUUUCAACUCUAGGUCCUCCUGGGCACCCAGGGCUGGAGGCACCAAGCAGAGCCGGGACAGACAGGGUGCAGCUGAAAUCCAGGGAGGACCUGGCCGGCAUGAACAACGCCAGGACAACGUGCUGAGGCAGAAUCGGGAAGCCUUUCCUACACAAGCUUCUAGAACAAGAGACAGCUGUCCCGGUGGGAGGGAGUGCCUCUGUCAUACAACUCCUGACCUCCUGGUUCAGUGGCCAAAGCAUUGUUUUCCUGGAACUGAGAGUCCUGCGAUGUGGGGCUUGCGGUGCUAACCGCGGACAGUCCCCACUGACUGGGGCCUGGCCAUUCGAGUUCCAACCUGUCCCUAGAAUUCUCUGGCAAUGAAAGGGCGCUGGCCCCUGGGGCCACGGAGAUACCCCUCUCCCGCAUGGGGGUGGGGCAGGUGGGGAGGAGGGAAGGCCCUCCCACCUUUGCCUCCUGGAGCAAAAGCACAAGCCUUUCCAGGGCCUGGACUCCGAGGUGGACGCUGGGCCCUUCAACACCGUUAGGAUUUCAUGCUAGCAACAAGAUUUUAUGUUAAGGAAAUAUUUUUAAAUUCGACAAAAUAGAGAUGUAUUUCUCAAAGACGGUACCACAUUAUUGUGAGAAAUUCCCUGAGGGAUGGUAUAUGUUAGACUUAUUUGAUAUUAUACUGAGUGUCACUAAAACACUUUCAUUUUGAAGUCUUUUCCACUUUGUGUUCUUAAGAUUGAAUGAUUUAUAUUGACCUGUCUUCACUGAUCCUUUCUUCUGUUACUUCCAAACUUAUGUGAGGCCUAUCCACUGAUUUUUUUUUUUUAUUUCUGUGUCUUGUCAGUCCUAGAACUUCUAUUUGAUUAUUUUAUUUUAAAAAAAAUGUUUCUGUAGCUUUGCUGAGAUUUCCUAUCUCUUCACUCAUUGUGA